rnacentral:rRNA from 1 species
AUGCUGAUUUGGGCUUCCCUCUAUGUGGAUGAUGCUGCGGUUUUUAUUACGCCACUCAAGGCGGACGUCAGUUUCUUUGCCGACACCCUCAGGAACUUUGGAGAUGUUUCUGGUUUGGUAACAAAUUGCUCCAAGAGCUUGGUUUCCCCAAUUAGAUGUGACAAUGUGGACCUUCCGGAUAUUCUCCAAUCCUUCCCAGCUCAAUGAACCACCUUCCCAAUGAAAUAUCUUGGUUUACCACUGUCAGCUAAGCGCCUGAAAAGAAUUCACUUCCAGCCUCUCGAGGACAAGAUCGCGGCCCAGCUCACACCUUGGAUGGGCAAGCAUGUUGCUUCCCCCAGAAGGAUGGUUCUUGUUAAGUCUUUCAUCACGGCCAUCGCUAUCUAG